rnacentral:piRNA from 1 species
UAGAAGACUGACUCUUUGCUGCUGCCC